rnacentral:sRNA from 1 species
GGGUACAACUAUGUCUGAGUAGGCAGCCGGUAACACAAUGUCUCCCUUGUGCAAAGUAACUCUCUUAGUGAGUGCUCAGAUAUGUGAGGAAAAAGUAUUUGGUGGAGUGUGACAAUAUGAACCGCUUUGACCGACCAGACAGAAAUGUUCGGCAGCCUCAGGAAGGUUUUUGGAAAAGGCCACCCCAGAGGUGGAGUGGACAGGAGCAUUACCACCUCAGCCACCCUGAUCACUAUCAUCACCAUGGAAAAAGUGACUUGAGCAGAGGCUCUCCCUAUAGAGAAUCUCCUUUGGGUCAUUUUGAAAGCUAUGGAGGGAUGCCCUUUUUCCAGGCUCAGAAGAUGUUUGUUGAUGUACCAGAAAAUACAGUGAUACUGGAUGAGAUGACCCUUCGGCACAUGGUUCAGGAUUGCACUGCUGUAAAAACUCAGUUACUCAAACUGAAACGUCUCCUGCAUCAGCAUGAUGGAAGUG